GGCCUGGUGGCAGAGUGGUUAUGCAGAGGACUGCAAAUCCUUGAAUGCCGGUUCGAUUCCGACCCAGGCCUCCA
rnacentral:tRNA from 1 species